AGUGGACUCAUCCAUCCAGCUUCAAGUGCUGCAGUGCUCCCAGCACAAUCGAUGGCUGUCCCUGACAACAAAGACCUCCCUGGUCAACUCUGUGUCUGUGUCCCGUCCCAUCCACUUGCUCAUGUCCUGUAGUCCAAGCCCUACUUUGGACCUCCACUGGGGCUGUUGCAAAAGUAAAGGCAGCCAGCAAUGAAGAGCCUGUUGGAACAUGAGUUUUAAAAAUUCCCUUGGCUGGGCGCAGCGGCUCACGUCUGUAAUCCCAGCACUUUGGGAGGCUGAGGCGGGUGGAUCACAAGGCCAGGAGUCUGAGACCAGCCUGGCCAAUAUGGUGAAACCCCGUCCUGGAGCAGGUGGGGCGCUUCAUCCGGACUCGGAAAGUCUCCCUGGCCAC
rnacentral:lncRNA from 1 species